rnacentral:pre_miRNA from 3 species
UGGUCUUUUGAGGCAAAGUUCUGAGACACUCCGACUCUGAAUAUGAUAGAAGUCAGUGCACUACAGAACUUUGUCUCU